UGGCAUGAAAGCCGGCGCCGGCCUCCUCGUGGCCCAGAGGGUGAGUACCCCUACGUGAGGGGGAAACAAACGGGCGCA
rnacentral:ribozyme from 1 species